rnacentral:rRNA from 1 species
AUUGAACGCUGGCGGCAGGCCUAACACAUGCAAGUCGAACGAGUGGCGGACGGGUGAGUAAUGUCCGGGAAACCGCCCGAUGGAGGGGGAUAAAUACUGGAAACGGUAGCUAAUACCGCAUACCAUCGGAUGUGCCCAGAUGGGAUUAGCUAGUAGGUGGGGUAACGGCUCACCUAGGCGACGAUCCCUAGCUGGUCGGAGAGGAUGACCGGCCGCCCUGGAGCUGUGCCACCGUCCAGACUCCUACGCGAGGCAGCAGGGGGGAAUAUGGGACAAUGGGCGCAAGCCUUGUGCAGCCAUGCCACGUGUAUGAAGAAGGCCUUCGGGUUGUAAAGUACUUUCAGCGAGUGUGCGUUACUCGCAGAAGAAGCAACGGCUAACUCCGUGCCAGCAGCCGCGGUAAUUC